UGUAGCAAUACACCAGUGGCGCACGGGUGAGUAAUGUUUCGCUAAUGUACCCUUCAGACAGGGAUAGCUGCCCGAAAGGGCAGGUAAUACCUGGUAAGACCACAGGCAGGCAUCUGCUGGUGCUCAAAGGUCGCAAGACGCUGUUGGAGCAGGCGAUAUCGUAUCAGCUAGUUGGUGAGGUAACGGCUCACCAAGGCGAUGACGCGUAGCUGGUCUGAGAGGACGACCAGCCACAUCGGGACUGAGACACUGCCCGGACUCCUACGGGGGGCUGCAGUAACGAAUCUUCCGCAAUGCACGAAAGUGUGACGGAGCGACGCCGCGUGUAGGAUGAAGUCCUUCGGGAUGUAAACUACUGUCAGGGGUAAGAAAGUUCUGAUCUACCCCAGAGGAAGAGGCGGCUAACUCUGUGCCAGCAGCCGCGGUAAUACAGAGGCCUCGAGCGUUAGGCGGAAUCACUGGGCUUAAAGCGUGUGUAGGUGGAUGCCUAAGUACCUUGUGAAAUCCCACGGCUUAACCGUGGAACUGCUGGGUAUACUGGGUGUCUUGAGCCACUCAGGGGCUACCGGAACAAACGGUGGAGCGGUGAAAUGCGUAGAUAUCGUUUGGAACGCCAAUGGUGAAAACAGGUAGCUGGGGGUGUGCUGACACUGAGACACGAAAGCCAGGGGAGCAAACGGGAUUAGAUACCCCGGUAGUCCUGGCCCUAAACGAUGUCCACUAGAUCGUGGCGGUUCUAACGCCGUCAUGGUCGAAGCAAAAGUGCUAAGUGGA
rnacentral:rRNA from 1 species